GGGGAAUCUUGCGCAAUGGGGGCAACCCUGACGCAGCCAUGCCGCGUGAAUGAUGAAGGCCUUAGGGUUGUAAAGUUCUUUUGCCCGUGACGAUGAUGACGGUAACGGGAGAAUAAGCUCCGGCUAACUUCGUGCCAGCAGCCGCGGUAAUACGAAGGGGGCUAGCGUGGUUCGGAAUUACUGGGCGUAAAGCGCGCGCAGGCGGUUUUGUAAGUUAGGGGUGAAAUCCCCGGGCUCAACCCGGGAAUGGCCUUUAAGACUGCAAGGCUAGAGGACGAGAGAGGUGAGCGGAAUUCCCAGUGUAGAGGUGAAAUUCGUAGAUAUUGGGAAGAACACCGGUGGCGAAGGCGGCUCACUGGCUCGUUUCUGACGCUGAGGCGCGAAAGCGUGGGGAGCAAAC
rnacentral:rRNA from 1 species